rnacentral:lncRNA from 1 species
UUUUAAUCUCUGCUGAUAAAUCAGAGUGUUUGGAUGAUUAGCACUGACCGCCUUCUGAUUGGUUUUCUGGCUUGCUGCUGCUCAGGACUUUUUGCUUAUGAGAUAACUAGAUAUAUGCCUGGCUAGUGAAAAAGGUCUAUAUGACAUAUGUCUGGCUAUUUGACUGUCAGUCAAAUAAGAUUAUGUUGAAAUUGUUGUAUUGAGGAUCAGAUCUUGUGCCCUACAUGCUUUUUUUCAUCCAUGAGUCACUCUUUGGAUCCCUUUUCUUAUUUAAGAAGAAAAAAAUCCCCCAAUUACAAGAUGGCAUGAGCUGUGCUGAGCCCAUACAACAUCCUAAGCAGGAAGCCCUUGCCCAGCACCAAUUAAGGACUAACUGUACCAAGGGAUUCAGUUUCAGCGUAACACUCCGUAUAACGGAAGCUGCGGACCCUCUCUGUGGAAGACCUAAAUCACCCUCUGUCUGAACAGCCAUGAUUCACCUUUCCUUGCGUUUCCUCAGCUCACAAGCGCUCUGUCCCCAGCCAGAGCUCGCUCUGGCUCUGGCGCAGAAGGAGCUGCCCGGGACAGCUGGUGAGUGACGGUGCAGUGGUGUCACCUCUGGGAGCCUGGGCACUCACCGUGGUGUGCCUGGGGCGUUCACAGCCCUCCCCACCAAGCCUGUCAUUCUUCUGACUACUACAGCAAAUCUCUGGGGCUUUGUCACUGAGGCUGUUCAAGCAAUUAAUACACGAGCAGAUAUAUUUUGAACUGGAAACUGGACUCAUUCCAAGCCCUUCUUUGCAAACCAGGGGUUAAAAAGAUGUGCCAAAUGUACACUUAAACACUUCAUGAGUGCCAGAUGCAGGUUAGGUAGAGCGUGAUGUUUUUGUCCUCACAGUUAUAUAGCAGGGCUUCAAACACAUCUCUCUUAAAUAUUUUUCAUAAAACACAAUGUAAUGCCUUGCCCAGAGACAAUGAAUAUGUAGCUUACAUCAUUAACUGCAAAAUCCACAUUGUGGCUGAAAGGUGAGAAGGUAUUUCAGGAUCAACCCAGCUUUUAAAUUUGCCAGGAUAAAUACAUCACAGUGGGAAAUCCAUAUGUAGUUUACACCGUAUAGAACACAUCUCUUCGGCUGAGAAGGACAACUCCAAAGAUAUGAGAAAGAAAAACCUAUUCAAGAAGAUGGAUAGACUGCUAUGAUAUCUUCAUUGUUUUAAACUUUUUAUGCCUAUCAUAUCAGAUAUCUAGGUAUCCAGCAUCCAUACUUUCAGAGCAGGGCAAUGUGGCAUUAUUAAAAAAAAAAUAGAAUUUUUCACUUCUAUGGCUAUGAUUUUAUACUCAGAGAAAUUCAAAUAAGACCACUAAUGAAAAACUUUCCUCUUUUAAAGCAUGAUUUGUUUAAUUGUACUCACUGGCAUUAAGUCCUCU